AUUGAACGCUGGCGGCAUGCCUUACACAUGCAAGUCGAACGGUAACAGGUCUUCGGAUGCUGACGAGUGGCGAACGGGUGAGUAAUACAUCGGAACGUGCCUAGUAGUGGGGGAUAACUACUCGAAAGAGUGGCUAAUACCGCAUGAGAUCUACGGAUGAAAGCAGGGGAUCGCAAGACCUUGUGCUACUAGAGCGGCCGAUGGCAGAUUAGGUAGUUGGUGGGAUAAAAGCUUACCAAGCCGAUGAUCAGUAGCUGGUCUGAGAGGACGAUCAGCCACACUGGGACUGAGACACGGCCCAGACUCCUACGGGAGGCAGCAGUGGGGAAUUUUGGACAAUGGGCGCAAGCCUGAUCCAGCCAUGCCGCGUGUCCGAAGAAGGCCUUCGGGUUGUAAAGGACUUUUGUCCGGGAGCAAAUGCUGGUGGCUAACAUCCACCGGAGCUGAGAGUACCGGAAGAAUAAGCACCGGCUAACUACGUGCCAGCCGCCGCCGUAA
rnacentral:rRNA from 1 species